GGACCUCACAGUCUGGCUCUUUGAUGAUAGACUGGCUCAAGGUGCUUCACAACCCUAAGCAUUUCCCUUGCACUGCUAGUAAGCUCUGUGUUUCCACCCAUUUCAGCCCAAAUUCCAGUCAUGUGAAUGAAGGCACCAUAUUGAACAUUCCAGCCCCAGAAUAUGCCGUAUAAAGGAGAUGCGAGGCCCCAGUUCUGGUUGUGCUGAUCACCAUGGAAGAGAACAAAUUGUCCAGGACCAAGCAGCAAUCUCCCCCAUAGUGAGCAGGAGCAGUUUGGAGAGACAGAUUCAGCCAUGUGUCCUGAUGUCUUGCAUAAAUAUCAAACUCUCACAGAAGCAUUCCAUGAAAGGCAUAUGAGUCAGGAAGCCCUGAAGAGGACGCCAUCCUUAGCCACUCCGUCUGCAAUCAGGU